GGUUUUCGUUUUACAAAAACAGAGAAAUAAAGAGUAAGACAAAACAGAGUAAAAUCUGUGUUGUCCGAUCCUUAACAACUUUGAGAGUUCAAAGU
rnacentral:sRNA from 1 species